UCUCCAACACACUCUUUUCAUGACCUCCAUAGAAUAAUAUGAAUCAAGCACAAUCCCAACUCCAUACCCAGAUCUUCAAUCCCAGAAUGAAAUAUCAAUUUGUAAAUUGUAAUGGGUACCCUUUCAAAUGGACAAUCCCUUUUCAUAUGAGAAGCGUUGACAGAUUGACAGCAAUGAAUGUUGUUGCUGCUGCUGCCUGAAAAGGUCUUUGAUGUUCUUCUGCCGGUCUGGUGAUCUCGGGCACUGCAGUCUGCGGUUUAUCGGGGAAGCAACAGAAAAAGGACAGACAAGCCAGUUGGAUAUGGAAGUCUGAAGUAAUGGCUUCCAUACGAUACAGCAAUUUUAUGACAUACAACCCCAAAGCUCUUUACUACAGGCACCCUGGAGAUUCAACGUGUCUGCGGUCUGCCUCAUUCACCCUUAAUUGGUGUAGGAGCGCACUUCAAAGUAGAAGAUCCUGUAUAUGAAGCCCAGAUGAACUUAAUAACUUGUGCUGCGAUUGCCGUAGUAAUCAAUUGGGCUGUAGCCUGGUUAUCAGGAGUGGUGUUUGCAGGAAUUGCUCUAAGGGGAAUAAGCAGGACAAGUCGCAAGAUCAAAUAGCAGGAUCAAAUCAACAAAAUUUUACAUUUAGAUCUCAUCUGCUAUGACUAAUCUUACAAUUAAAUGCUGUCCCUCAUGUGGAAACUAUACUUGAAAGAAACACAAUCUCUACUCGACUCCUUGACAUA